AGAGUUUGAUCAUGGCUCAGAACGAACGUUAGCGGCGCGCCUAAUACAUGCAAGUCGAGCGAGAAAGGGCUUCGGCCUGAGUAAAGCGGCGCACGGGUGAGUAACACGUAGGUAACCUACCCCCGAGUGGUGGAUAACUCUCCGAAAGGAGAGCUAAUACAGCAUGAGACCACUUAGUGGCCAAAGCGGGCCUCUCCAUGAAAGCUCGCGCUCGGGGAUGGGCCUGCGGCCCAUCAGCUAGUUGGUAGGGUAACGGCCUACCAAGGCAACGACGGGUAGCUGGUGUGGGAGGAUGAACCGCCAAACGGGAACGGAGAGACGGGCCAGCCUCCUACGGGAGGCAGCAGUAGGGAAUCUUGCGCAAUGGGCGAAAGCCUGACGCAGCGACGCCGCGUGAGUGAUGAAGGCCCUCGGGUUGUAAAGCUCUGUGGGGAGGGAAGAAUAAGCAAAGGCUAAUACCCUUUGUGAUGACGGUACCUCUUUAGCAAGCACCGGCUAACUCUGUGCCAGCCGCCGCGGUAAUUC
rnacentral:rRNA from 1 species